rnacentral:rRNA from 1 species
AGUGAACGCUGGCGGUAGGCCUAACACAUGCAAGUCGAACGGCAGCACAGUAAGAGCUUGCUCUUACGGGUGGCGAGUGGCGGACGGGUGAGGAAUACAUCGGAAUCUACUUUUUCGUGGGGGAUAACGUAGGGAAACUUACGCUAAUACCGCAUACGACCUACGGGUGAAAGCAGGGGAUCUUCGGACCUUGCGCGAUUGAAUGAGCCGAUGUCGGAUUAGCUAGUUGGCGGGGUAAAGGCCCACCAAGGCGACGAUCCGUAGCUGGUCUGAGAGGAUGAGCAGCCCACAUGGAACUGAGAAAAGGCCCAAGCCCCUACGGGGGGCAGCAGGGGGGAAUAUUGGAAAAAGGGGGGAAGCCUGUCCCAGCCAACCCGGGGGGGUGAAGAAGGCCUUCGGGUUGAAAAGCCCUUUUGUUGGGAAAGAAAAGCAGCAGGUUAAUCCCCCGCUGUUCUGGCGGUACCCAAAGAAUAAGCACCGGCUAACUUCGU